rnacentral:rRNA from 1 species
UACGUAGGGUGCGAGCGUUGUCCGGAAUUAUUGGGCGUAAAGAGCUCGUAGGCGGUUUGUUGCGUCUAUCGUGAAAACCUGCGGCUUAACUGUGGGCUUGCGGUGGAUACGGGCAGACUUGAGUUCGGUAGGGGGAGACUGGAAUUCCUGGUGUAGCGGGUGAAAAUGCGCAGAUAUCAGGAGGAACACCGGUGGCGAAGGCGGGUCUCUGGGCCGAUACUGACGCUGAGGAGCGAAAGCGUGGGAGCGAACAGG